rnacentral:rRNA from 1 species
UAUUAGUCAAUGGCCUAAAGGCUGAACCAGUAACUUGGAAGAAUGUAAAUGUAUUAAUAAUUAAUACAAUAACGAUUAAUUCGUAUAAAAUUCUAAAUAGAAUAAUGAUAAUGACAAUUUUCUAUUUAUAAGUCUUGACCAAAUUACGUGCCAGCAGUCGCGGUAAUACGUAAAAGACUAGUGUUAGUCAUCUUUAUUAGGUUUAAAGGGUACCUAGACGGUAAAUUAAACUCUCAUUGAGUAUCUUUUUACUAGAGUUUUAUAAGAGAAGGAAGAAUUUUUGGAGUAGUGAUAAAAUACUUUUAUACCAAAAAGACUGAUAACGGCGAAGGCAUCCUUCUAUGUAAAAACUGACGUUGAGGGACGAAGGCUUGGGUAGCAAUAAGGAUUAGAUACCCUAGUAGUCCAAGCAGAAAAUAAUGAAUGUCAUAAACUAGAUAAUUAAUUUAGUAUAUAAAUGAAAGUGUAAGCAUUCCACCUCAAGAGUAAUAUGGCAACAUAUAAACUGAAAUCAUUAGACCGUUUCUGAAACCAGUAGUGAAGUAUGUUAUUUAAU